AUGGCCGCCACAAACCCAGGCAUGGUUCACGUGGUUGAGCCUCAUGGGCACCAAACUUUGAUUCAUAACGGGAGGACCGUCCGAGUAUUUGGCCGUGCAUUUUGGGCCUUUGAGCAAUGCGUGAGGGCUUUUGAGCAUUGUCGGCCCGUCAUCGCCAUUGAUGGCACGUUCUUGACCGGACAAUACAAGGGCACUUUAUUGGUUGCAAUAGCAAGUGAUGCCAAUAACCGGGUGUUGCCUUUGGCUUUCGCUUUGGUUGAGGUGGAGAACAAUGAUAACUGGGAGUGGUUCUUGCGUCAACUGAGAACAAGGGUAUUACCGGCUGAAAGGAAAAUUUGUGUCAUAUCGGAUUGCCAUGCUGGAAUUCUAAAUGCGACACGUGACAAGAAGGGGAAAUGGCCUCGCUCUACUCAGUAG
rnacentral:rRNA from 1 species